rnacentral:rRNA from 1 species
ACAGAGGGUGCGAGCGUUGUCCGGAAUCACUGGGCGUAAAGGGCGCGUAGGUGGCCUGGUAAGUAGGGGGUGAAAUCUCGAGGCUCAACUUCGAGGCUGCCUCCUAAACUGUCAGGCUUGAGCAGAGUAGAGGCAGGUGGAAUUCCCGGUGUAGCGGUGGAAUGCGUAGAGAUCGGGAAGAACAUCGGUGGCGAAGGCGGCCUGCUGGGCUCUUGCUGACACUGAGGCGCGACAGCGUGGGGAGCAAACAGGAUUAGAUACCCUGGUAGUCCACGCCGUAAACGAUGGGUACUAGGCGCCGGGGGGAGCGACCCCUUCGGUGCCGUCGCUAACGCAAUAAGUACCCCGCCUGGGGAGUACGGCCGCAAGGCUG